CCUACGGGUGGCAGCAGUGAGGAAUAUUGGUCAAUGGACGAGAGUCUGAACCAACCAAGUAGCGUGAAGGAUGACUGCCCUCUGGGUUGUAAACUUCUUUUAUAUGGGAAUACAAUGUUCCACGUGUGGGCUUUUGUCUGUACCAUCUGAAUAAGAAUCGGCUAACUCUGUGCCAGCAGCCGCGGUAAUACGGAGGAUUCGAGCGUUAUCCGGAUUUAUGGGGUUUAAAGGGAGCGUAGGUUGAUUGUAAAGUCAGUUGUUAAAGUUUGCGGCUAAACCGUAACAUUGCAGUUGAAACUGGCAGACUUGAGUACAGUAGAGGUGGGCGGAAUUCGUGGUGUAGCGGUGAAAUGCUUAGAUAUCACGAAGAACUCCGAUUGCGAAGGCAGUUCACUGGACUGCAACUGACACUGAGGCUCGAAAGUGUGGGUAUCAAACAGGAUUAGAUACCCUUGUAGUC
rnacentral:rRNA from 1 species